UAAAUCAUUGUCAAAUAAUUU
rnacentral:piRNA from 1 species